AAUUCAACAAUAAAGCUAUGUGUUUCUCUGGAAAAGAGAACAUAAUGAAGAGCUGUGAGAAGCAGCUUGAAGAAUGUGUGUCAAAAGGCACUUAUUGUAAGCAUAUUCAGAGAGUUUCGACAAACAAGGCUACUGACCUCCUGUUGCUAUGAGCUUCUCAACACGAGAUACGAUAUGUUUGCCAUAAGUGUAUUUCUUGAGAGCAUUAAGGUGUACUCUAAUGCGAGAAAGAAUUAAUUCACGGCUUUGCUCAUCACAGGUCUCAAGAACCUUCUGCACAACAUAGUUUCCAAAUGGAUCCUUCAUCAUAGCCUACAUUCUGUUGGGAAUAAACCCCUUACCAAAAUAAUAUUCACGGUAAUAAAGCGGAAUAAUAAUGUAGCACCGAGAUACGGUAAUUAACAAGAAUAAAAGAGUAACAAUGACACCAAAAUUUUUACGUGGAAAACCCUUCUGAAUAAGGGAAAAAACCACGACCCCGAGAGGAGCAACUGAUAUCACUAUAGUAAGGAAUUUUACACUUUGUAGGUCGGAGGUAAAUACUCCAAAGACCACUACAACACUCAAAAGAAAUAACCCUCUUUUGAUAUUCCCACCUCACUACAAUAUCGCUCACUCUCUAUUUUCCUCACAGACUAUUUUCUUAUACCUUGUCUGUGAAACCUCACUCUUUCUUUCUCUCUUUGUUGGUGUGUAGAAAUGAGAGUUGAAGCUCUCCUUUUAUAGCCAAAGCUUCACCCUCUAAAGCCUACAAUAUUUGACAAUUUACACACACUUUUCACAAUUCAACAAAGUUGGCUACCAAACCAAAGAAAUUCAACAAGGUUGGCUACCAAACCAAACUAAUUCAACAAGGUUGGCUACCAACCAAACCAAGUCAACAAGGUUGGCUACCAAACCAAAGAAAACUCUUAUUAGGCACAUGCCUAAUACUUCUUCAAUGAGAUGGACAUCA
rnacentral:lncRNA from 1 species